rnacentral:rRNA from 1 species
UCGCAUGAAGUCGGAAUUGCUAGUAAUCGCGGAUCAGCAUGCCGCGGUGAAUACGUUCCCGGGCCUUGUACACACCGCCCGUCACACCAUGGGAGCCGGUAAUACCCGAAGUCAGUAGUCCAACCUCGUGAGGACGCUGCCGAAGGUAGGAUUGGCGACUGGGGUGAAGUCGUAACAAGGUAAC